rnacentral:pre_miRNA from 1 species
UGUUGUUGCUGGUGCUGGUGCUGGUGCUGGUGCUGUCCGGGGAUAGAGAUGUAGAUGGAGCAACACCACCACCACCACCAACAACACAA